AUUCUUAGUGAGGUAAUUCAUGUGACUGGGUUGGAGGCUGUGCACCCAGGAACCUGUAUAACUAAUAAUUCGAUUUGCACUUGCCUGACUUCUCUCAUCUCCGAAGAUCAGGGACAUUUCAGAGACCUUCAAGCUAGCGGCUAAUUCC